rnacentral:rRNA from 1 species
ACGGAAGGCAGCAGUGGGGAAUAUUGCACAAUGGGCGCAAGCCUGAUGCAGCGAUGCCGCGUGAGGGAAGAAGGUUUUCGGAUUGUAAACCUCUGUCAACAGGGACGAAAAUGACGGUACCUGUGAAGGAAGCUCCGGCUAACUACGUGCCAGCAGCCGCGGUAAUACGUAGGGAGCAAGCGUUAUCCGGAAUUACUGGGUGUAAAGGGAGUGUAGGCGGGACUGUAAGUCAGAUGUGAAAUAUGCCGGCUCAACUGGCAGACUGCAUUUGAAACUGUUGUUCUUGAGUGGAGUAGAGGUAGGCGGAAUUCCGAGUGUAGCGGUGAAAUGCGUAGAUAUUCGGAGGAACACCAGUGGCGAAGGCGGCCUACUGGGCUCUAACUGACGCUGAGGCUCGAAAGUGUGGGGAGCAAACAGGAUUAGAUACCCUGGUA